UACGAGAGGCCCAAACGUUAUUCGGAUUUACUGGGCUUAAAGAGUUCGUAGGCGGCGCGGAAAGUAGGGUGUGAAAGCCCUCGGCUUAACCGAGGAAUUGCGCUCUAAACUACCGUGCUUGAGGAACCUAGAGGUGAGCAGAACUGAUGGUGGAGCGGUGAAAUGCGUUGAUAUCAUCAGGAAUACCGGAGGCGAAGGCGGCUCACUGGGGGUUAUCUGACGCUGAGGAACGAAAGCCAGGGGAGCAAACGGG
rnacentral:rRNA from 1 species